ensembl:lncRNA
CCCCAAGUGGUUGAACUACAGAAUUACAGCUAGUUUUUUGGAGGUUACAUAAACAAAAAAAAAUAUGCAGACAAGAGUACCGAUUGGGUGAAGGUGCAAUGGUGCAUACACACGACACGAACAUAUUCAAAUCAUCAUUAUGAAUUGAUCCAAGAUUCACUGCUAAGGUAUUUUGCCAACAUCUUCUUACCAUAGAAAAAUCGCUAAUUCCUAAAAGAGAGAAGGCAAACGCUUGCCUGCACCAAAAGUGCACAGACAAGAACGUUGGCCUGUUGUUCUAACUGAAGGAUUUAAAACGAAUGUUUCUGUUUAAAACAUCACAACGUUAUUUUAUUAUUAUUUUUUUUAUUAUUAUUUAGCCUAUAGAAUGACCGGUUUCAUCUAUAGUUUGAGGAUAGUUUAAAUUAGUUAAAAAAAACAUUUGAUAUGUCCGUGCACCACCUGGGGCUCUGGCAGGGGCUUGACCACUUCCACUGGUAGGAGCCAUCUGGUAACAGGUGUUUUUUGUGUCCGGAGAUCCCUGCAGGAAAGGCACCACAGAAUGAUGGAUUUUACCAGUGGAUUCAAAACCAACACUUCUCAUACUUCAAACAGACAGAGCUCUACCACCACUUCUCCCUCUGCAGAGAGCUGCUCCAGGUACCCUCCUCAUGUCAGCUCAAAGGAUAUUAAGGAGAAGACUUGGGGACCUUCUGCGUGAGAGUGGACCACUUGCUUCACAUGGCCCUUCGGAGGGACCCAGGCCAGAGGGCUCACUACCAGGCCCACUACGCCUUCAUCAAGGCCUUCCAACUCCCGGUGGGCUCCAGCAUCAUGGCCGCCUGUCGCCUCACCUAUGGUAAAAGUCUUUCAAUGCACUUACUUAUUUUUUCAAAAGUGAAAGUUUGAUCCUUUUUAUUGUAGAGUAAGUCAGGAAGGUAUGGGAGAGAGAGGGGGAGACGUGCAGCAAAGGGCCGCGAGCAGGAAUUGAACCCCGGUCCUAUGGGCUGCCUCGGUGUCUCUGGGUCUGCAACAAGGCGAUAACACGGUCGACUGCUCCUCCAUCGCCAGAGGAUACGCAGACCUGGGCUAUGACGGAGGUCUGGAGCCCAGGAGGGCGCCUCUCUUCAGGGGUCACCGAAGGCCCGGUUCAGGGUCGCGGCUCGGGGAUGAAGAGGGACCCGACAGCCCCAGACUGCUGAUGUGGUCGCCUUUUAGAAGACGCAGAGGACGCAGAGUGGCAGUGCCACCAUGUAGCACACCGGUCCGAACGAGGGCGAGACGGUUCACCGGGACGUCCGCAACGUAGUAGGAGCGUCCCGGGAACGAAGGGGAGGCAAGCUAGGGUUGAGUGCCGGCUCUGUCGCUAUGGCAAACCGGGCACCCCUCCCCUCCAUCUUCAAACACCCAGGGACGGACGCAGCCCCUUACUCCUUCAUCAAUACACCCAUAUUUCAUUUGCCGUCCGUUCUGACCACCGGUCGUGCGCCCAGACCACCACCACCACCACCACCAGGGCCCCCGUCUGCGGCAUGUCCCUCAGCACUGCGAUGACCACCUGUCUGUGGGCAUAUCUGCCGGCGCGGUAGCAGGGCGGCCUAAUAAACACUCCCUGAGGGUUCAAGGAGAGGGCAGCAGGGAAGCUGACUCUGGCUGAGAACACAGCCACGCACCUUGUGAAGUGUUUGCCCUGCGGAAACGCAACGACCUUGAUUCACGCUGCCAAGCGAGAACUAGGUGUGACUCUGUAUCAACUGUACAACGUUGAAUGUACAUAAGGUGGCGGCCGUGAGACAUGCCUCAUUUUUUCAAAUUAAAUAUCAAAGCUUUUUAUCCAUGACUCAUUCUCAUUUUGUUUUAUUUGUUUUCAGAUUCUGGCUCGUACGUUCUACUGAUUCUUUGAAGAAGAGGACAAAUGUCUUCCCACACAUCUGGUUGGUAUCUCAAUGGGAAUGUCCCAUUGAAAUUAAAAAACAAUUUUUCAAGGUAGUCCUGGCCAAGAGGCAGCAAAAAAGACAGCAAAAAGCAAAAGAGUUGUCAGUUGUUGGUGCACAGCGCCCCCCGGGGGACGGGAUGCGCCGAGGCAGAAGGUGUGGCGGAUAAGGGUGUUGCAGGAACCUGGGUCAGCGAUCUUCUGCUACACUGCAGUGGUACCUCUGAACGAGGGCUCCCCUUGGGGGACGUCAGGCGAGGGGCGACCAUCCAUCUGGACUACAAGAAGCAUGAGAAAGGUACGUAACACAGUCAAUCAAAAUUGUUUAUUCGAACCAAAUCAACACUUCAAGUGGGAUAUGUCAAGAGAAACUUAAUAUACAAAAUGAUCAUGUCGAAACAACCAAUUAUGUUGCAUCAAACUCAAUGUGUGAAUGGGUAUUGCUGAACCCAUUCUAUGGAAGGCUGACUUCUAUUUUAUCUAAUUUAUAAGACCUGCAUGACCUCGCUCUUGCAAACCAGGCCAGGGCCCGGGAGCGUGGCCUCUGGCUGCAAAAACAUCUGCUGGGUAAAGCUGCCGUGUACCCAUCACAUCUGAGACAGUAUGGACUGAAGCAGUUUCAUGUAUUGACUCCAUCAGUGUUUCUUUUGUUUAUUUUGGUUGGUUUGUAUUUGUUAAUUGCAACUACCCCUUAAUAGCAUAGCUUCUACAUAAUCGCAUUGCAUCAGUUUGAAUUCUUUUUUUUCGAAUAUUAUUAAUGGAAUGUGAAACAUUGGUGGAGUUGGUUUGAAGUGCAGAGUCGUUUUUGACAAAACCCUUAAACGAUAUGUUGUCAUGACAACGGGGAAGCAUAUUUUGAAGAGUUCAUCAUAGAAUAAAAAUUGGUUACAGAACUGGACAUUGAGAUAUUAAGAUGUUCUUCGUCCCCUCUUGAUGUUUCCCGGAUGGAGGAAGGUUGUGGCUGCGUUAAAAACCCAAAUUUAAACAUCAGAUUUGCUUAGAAUAAACACAAGUAGAAUUGAUCAGAACACCUUCCCUGAGAGACAUCAGAGCGCAGACGCUUUUAAAUGGGUGAGUUGUCAACACUUACUCAUUGUAUCGUUGGGCCCACGGCUUGCCAUUCAAGCUGCCUCCCCAAUCUGUUAUGUUCUCUCACUGCCUCUCAGAGCAUCAAACAAAAGCUACUCUCUCUCUCUCUCUCUCUCUCUCUCUCUCUCUCUCUCUCUCUCUCUCUCUCUCUCUCUCUCUCUCUCUCUCUCUCUCUCUCUCUCUCUCACCCUCUCUCUACCUCACGUUUCUUCUCUCGCUCUCGCUCUCGCUCUCUCGUCUCUACCUCCAGAAACGUUCUUGGAAAGCCGUCAGCAGGCUCAUCCGAAGCAUCUGUCCAUUUCGACGUCGCACCAUGAGGAACUCUGAAACGUGGACCCCGGUUUUGAGGCCUACCUCGUACACCGGCGGGCUGUUUACUCCACAAGCACGCGGUUUUAUAGAUGGACACUUUCUAACGAUCCGUCUCUGUGUCGUUAGGGAGUCCGUCCUGUAUUCGUGGACAGGCCUACAUGGCCUCCAUUUUAAAGGGGUGAUAUUAUGCCACCAGGAGGCCAGCGUGCCCUGCUGACAGAGAUGAGCCCUCAGAAGAGAGAGACUACAGCUCGCUCAAACUGAAGGCUGACGUCGUCGUUGAUUCUAUCUCCUGCGCUGAAAUGUUCGACCGGCUCAGGGCAGAUCAACAUUUCAAUGGAUAUGUCGCUGUCCAUCAGGCAGCUUGGCGGGCAGAGUGGACAGGAGUCUAUUUCCUGAGGCCAUAUUCUCUGUGUUUCCUACUCCGCUCUACUGCGUGCUUGCAAGGAUACAGACGAGACCAGGUCCACAUCACAUCAAUAGUACAGGAACAGGUUAAAUAAGAUACAUUUAGAUGCAUUGAGAACAUUGUGUUACAAAUGUUGUUGUUUUUGUCUUAUCAUUUAUUGAGCAAAAGUCUGAACCGAGAUGGACCAAACAGCGACUGGUUAUUUGCUGCCACCUUAAUGAAAAAUUGCCCCACUGUCCAGCGUUACUUCUCCUUUAGAACGAAAAUAUAGCAUAAGCAUACCGCAAAUGCUGUCAGUACUCUUUGCAUACAACGUAGAGCCAGCAUACCCCAGCAGGGGGCAGCACCUACCAGAUUAACGUCUGGCAUAAAGGGUUUUCACGUCCGAUGUCAAUGCAAAGCCAGGGUAGCAUUUUAUAAAUCGAGUUGACCUAUGAAAACAAUAGAAUUAUGCCUAUGAAUAGUUUUGUCCAACUGAUGAUGUGUUUUGUAAGAUUAUUAAAAAAAACGGAUUAUG